UUGGUCUUGCUCUGAGGCACUUACUUCCCCUGGGGGCAGUCGGCUGCGUGCUGCCCUCCUGCUGCGACUUAGGAUCUCACCCGAGGGCCAGGAGAUUGGCUUGGUCUGUGCACCAUCGACCCGAGGGCCAGAAGGUUGGCUUGGUCUGUGCACAAUUGACCCGAGGGCCAGAAGGUGGGCUUGGUCUGUGCACAAUCGACCUGAGGGCGAGAAGGUUGGCUUGGUCUGUGCACAAUCAGGACGGCCCUGAGAGCAGAGUGGCGGCAGGGCUGUCAUCCCAGUGCCUUCGGGGACUGCGCCGAGGAGCCGGGCCGCAUCCCACGUGGGGUGACUCGCACCUGCCCGUCGGGGCCAGGCUCAUGUUGGGUAUUUCAUGCGGCUCCCUGAAUUCUCAGAACAGCCUGCGAGUUGUCAUUAUCUGUCCUAUGGGAGAGCAGGCAGGAUGUAGGCCUGAGACAGGCUGGUGCCAAGGUCCGUGUCCUUUCCACAGGACUGGGGCGUUUGGAAACAUCCGUUCAAUUAACCUUCAGGUAUGGCGAGGCCCUACUGUCGCUGACAAGCUAGUUUGUUAAGGUUCUCAGUAGGACUGGUCACGCCACGCCACGCCACACCACACUAGGCCAUGCCAGGCCACACAGGGAAGUGCAGGCCAGCUGAGAGGCCGGGGGAGCAAGGGGAAAGUACGGGCAAAUCCAGGAACCUUUGCUGUGGUUUCUGCGGGAAGGAACAGCUGAGGCCAGGGAAGAGGGCUUGGGGCUGGGUGGCCUGAAUCACUUCUGUGGGCUCCUGACAUUGGCUGUGUCUUGUGGUCUGCUGCCUGGCCCUGGGGUGAUUAGGGCCGGGGUGUAGUGGGCUGGAGUGUGAGAUCCCCAAGCCCCCGAUAGUGAGGGCGGGUGUGGCUCUAGACUGCUUGGUUUUUCUGUAAGGUGUGCGCCAGGCUAGGGGUUACUAUCUCUAGGAACUGGCCAGCCCUGGGAGGGGCCGUCCCUCCAGGGUCAGCAAGGUGUCCUAAGUUAAAGCAUCAGGAAAAAAAGAUGUUAUGGGCAGCCCUCCGAGGCAGGUUGGUGCCCCAAAGAAGGAGGCAGUGGCUCAGCUGUGAGGAGCCCCUGACCUCAGAGAGGGUUCUAGAUGCA
rnacentral:lncRNA from 1 species